ACAGCAAUAUCACGUUGAAACAUUGAUUCCUCUGCCGAUUACCGAAGUUAAGCAACGUUUCGCCAGGCCAAUACUCAGAUGGGUGACCGCUGGGGAAUAUUGGGUGCUGUAAG